rnacentral:rRNA from 1 species
GAUGAACGCUGGCGGCGUGCUUAGCACAUGCAAGUCGAACGAAGCAUUUAAGACAGAUUACUUCGGUUUGAAGUCUUUUAUGACUGAGUGGCGGACGGGUGAGUAACGCGUGGGUAACCUGCCUCAUACAGGGGGAUAGCAGCUGGAAACGGCUGGUAAUACCGCAUAAGCGCACAGUACCACAUGGUACAGUGUGAAAAACUCCGGUGGUAUGAGAUGGACCCGCGUCUGAUUAGCUUGUUGGCGGGGUAACGGCCCACCAAGGCGACGAUCAGUAGCCGACCUGAGAGGGUGACCGGCCACAUUGGGACUGAGACACGGCCCAGACUCCUACGGGAGGCAGCAGUGGGGAAUAUUGCACAAUGGAGGAAACUCUGAUGCAGCGACGCCGCGUGAGUGAAGAAGUAGUUCGCUAUGUAAAGCUCUAUCAGCAGGGAGGAUAGUGACGGUACCUGACGAAGAAGCGCCGGCUAAAUACGUG